rnacentral:tRNA from 1 species
GGGGUUGUAGCUCAGAGGUAGAGCGCUUGCCUAGCACGUGUGAGGCACUGGGUUCGAUCCUCAACACCA